ensembl:lncRNA
CUGAGGUUUAAUGUGUAAGCCCUCGGGCCUCUGUGGCAUGCAUUGACCUGUUGGCAUCGCUGUUUGUUUUCUGCAGGAGUUGCUGUUGGAUGAGCUGGUGAUGGGCGUGGCCUUGCUCUUGUUGGAAGCCCCUUCAGAUCAGCUGACCAGCCUUCUCAGACUUGCACUGAGUUUGGUCCCUGAACAAGCGGAGGCGUCGCCCUGGUUGAGUCCGGUCCUGAUUCUCCCUGUGUUGCAGCUCCUGUCCUGCUUGGGUCUCACUGAGCCGCUGUCUGACCAGAACACACACAGCACCAACCACAGGCUGGCUCACAGCCUGCUGCGCAGCAUUAGCAGGCCCGCAGAUAAACCCUAGCAGGUAGCCUAGCAGGUAGCCCAACAGGUAGCCCAGCAGGUAGCCCAGCAGGUAGCCUAGCCUGCUUCUCACAUUCAGUUUUUGGAGUCUUUCUUUGAGGUGUAGCCACGUAA